ACCUGCCCUUAACUCUGGGAUAAGCCUGGGAAACUGGGUCUAAUACCGGAUAGGAGCGCCUACCGCAUGGUGGGUGUUGGAAAGAUUUAUCGGUUUUGGAUGGACUCGCGGCCUAUCAGCUUGUUGGUGAGGUAAUGGCUCACCAAGGCGACGACGGGUAGCCGGCCUGAGAGGGUGACCGGCCACACUGGGACUGAGACACGGCCCAGACUCCUACGGGAGGCAGCAGUGGGGAAUAUUGCACAAUGGGCGAAAGCCUGAUGCAGCGACGCCGCGUGAGGGAUGACGGCCUUCGGGUUGUAAACCUCUUUCAGUAGGGAAGAAGCGAAAGUGACGGUACCUGCAGAAGAAGCACCGGCUAACUACGUGCCAGCAGCCGCGGUAAUACGUAGGGUGCGAGCGUUAUCCGGAAUUAUUGGGCGUAAAGAGCUCGUAGGCGGUUUGUCGCGUCUGUCGUGAAAGUCCGGGGCUUAACCCCGGAUCUGCGGUGGGUACGGGCAGACUAGAGUGCAGUAGGGGAGACUGGAAUUCCUGGUGUAGCGGUGGAAUGCGCAGAUAUCAGGAGGAACACCGAUGGCGAAGGCAGGUCUCUGGGCUGUAACUGACGCUGAGGAGCGAAAGCAUGGGGAGCGAACAGGAUUAGAUACCCUGGUAGUCCAUGCCGUAAACGUUGGGCACUAGGUGUGGGGACCAUUCCACGGUUUCCGCGCCGCAGCUAACGCAUUAAGUGCCCCGCCUGGGGAGUACGGGCCGCAAGGCUAAAACUCAAAGGAAUUGACGGGGGCCCGCACAAGCGGCGGAGCAUGCGGAUUAAUUCGAUGCAACGCGAAGAACCUUACCAAGGCUUGACAUGUUCUCGAUCGCCGUAGAGAUACGGUUUCCCCUUUGGGGCGGGUUCACAGGUGGUGCAUGGUUGUCGUCAGCUCGUGUCGUGAGAUGUUGGGUUAAGUCCCGCAACGAGCGCAACCCUCGUUCCAUGUUGCCAGCACGUAAUGGUGGGGACUCAUGGGAGACUGCCGGGGUCAACUCGGAGGAAGGUGAGGACGACGUCAAAUCAUCAUGCCCCUUAUGUCUUGGGCUUCACGCAUGCUACAAUGGCCGGUACAAUGGGUUGCGAUACUGUGAGGUGGAGCUAAUCCCAAAAAGCCGGUCUCAGUUCGGAUUGGGGUCUGCAACUCGACCCCAUGAAGUCGGAGUCGCUAGUAAUCGCAGAUC
rnacentral:rRNA from 1 species